rnacentral:rRNA from 1 species
GCUUCAGGAUUAACGCUAGCGGCAGGCCUAAUACAUGCAAGUCGAACGGUAACAGGUCCAGCAAUGGAUGCUGACGAGUGGCGCACGGGUGCGUAACACGUAUGCAAUCUACCCUUAACUGGGGGAUAGCCCCGAGAAAUCGGGAUUAAUACCCCAUACCAUUAUGAUGAGGCAUCUCAUUAUAAUUAAAGCUCCGGCGGUUUUGGAUGAGCAUGCGCGACAUUAGCUAGUUGGUGAGGUAACGGCUCACCAAGGCUACGAUGUCUAGGGGUUCUGAGAGGAUUCACCCCCACACUGGUACUGAGACACGGACCAGACUCCUACGGGAGGCAGCAGUAAGGAAUAUUGGUCAAUGGACGCAAGUCUGAACCAGCCAUGCCGCGUGCAGGAUGACAGCCCUAUGGGUUGUAAACUGCUUUUGUACGGGAAAAAACCUCCGGUCGUGAACCGGAGCUGAUGGUACCGUAAGAAUAAGCAUCGGCUAACUCCGUGCCAGCAGCCGCGGUAAUACGGAGGAUGCAAGCGUUAUCCGGAUUCAUUGGGUUUAAAGGGUGCGCAGGCGGAAUGAUAAGUCAGUGGUGAAAUCCUACAGCUUAACUGUAGAACUGCCAUUGAUACUGUCGUUCUUGAGUACAGUUGGAGUGGGCGGAAUGUGUCAUGUAGCGGUGAAAUGCUUAGAUAUGACACAGAACACCAGUCGCGAAGGCAGCUCGCUAAACUGUAACUGACGCUCAUGCACGAAAGCGUGGGGAUCAAACAGGAUUAGAUACCCUGGUAGUCCACGCUGUAAACGAUGAUUACUCGAUGUUGGCGAUAUACUGUCAGCGUCUAAGCGAAAGCAUUAAGUAAUCCACCUGGGGAGUACGGCCCGCAGGGUGA